rnacentral:rRNA from 1 species
UACGUAGGGACCAAGCGUUGUUCGGAUUUAUUGGGCGUAAAGAGCGUGUAGGCGGCCAGGUAGGUCUGCUGUGAAAACUCGAGGCUCAACCUCGAGACGUCGGCGGAAACCAUCUGGCUAGAGUCCGGAAGAGGAGAGUGGAAUUCCUGGUGUAGCGGUGAAAUGUGCAGAUAUCAGGAAGAGCACCCGUGGCGAAGGCGGCUCUCUGGGACGGUACUGACGCUGAGACGCGAAAGCGUGGGGAGCGAACAGG